AAAGGAUUGGCUCUGAGGG
rnacentral:snRNA from 1 species